UGAGUAACCUGCCCUUAACUCUGGGAUAAGCCUGGGAAACUGGGUCUAAUACCGGAUAUGACUCCUCAUCGCAUGGGUGGGGGGUGGAAAGCUUUAUUGUGGUUUUGGAUGGACUCGCGGCCUAUCAGCUUGUUGGUGAGGUAAUGGCUCACCAAGGCGACGACGGGUAGCCGGCCUGAGAGGGUGACCGGCCACACUGGGACUGAGACACGGCCCAGACCUCCGUACGGGGAGGCAG
rnacentral:rRNA from 1 species